rnacentral:rRNA from 1 species
GACGAACGCUGACGGCGUGCUUAACACAUGCAAGUCGAACGGAAAGGCCCUGCUUUUGUGGGGUGCUCGAGUGGCGAACGGGUGAGUAACACGUGAGUAACCUGCCCUUGACUUUGGGAUAACUUCAGGAAACUGGGGCUAAUACCGGCUAGGAGCUCCUGCUGCAUGGUGGGGGUUGGACAGUUUCGGCGGUUGGGGAUGGACUCGCGGCUUAUCAGCUUGUUGGUGGGGUAGUGGCUUACCAAGGCUUUGACGGGUAGCCGGCCUGAGAGGGUGACCGGCCACAUUGGGACUGAGAUACGGCCCAGACGCCUACGGGAGGCAGCAGUGGGGAAUAUUGCACAAUGGGCGGAAGCCUGAUGCAGCAACGCCGCGUGCGGGAUGACGGCCUUCGGGUUGUAAACCGCUUUCGCCUGUGACGAAGCGUGAGUGACGGUAAUGGGUAAAGAAGCACCGGCUAACUACGUG